CCUAGGGGGGCUGCAGUGGGGAAUAUUGGACAAUGGGCGAAAGCCUGAUCCAGCCAUGCCGCGUGUGUGAAGAAGGCCUUCGGGUUGUAAAGCACUUUCAGUGGGGAAGAAAGCCUUGGGGCUAAUACCCUCGAGGAAGGACAUCACCCACAGAAGAAGCACCGACUAACUCCGUGCCAGCAGCCGCGGUAAUACGGAGGGUGCGAGCGUUAAUCGGAAUUACUGGGCGUAAAGCGCGCGUAGGCGGUCUGAUAAGCCGGUUGUGAAAGCCCCGGGCUCAACCUGGGAACGGCAUCCGGAACUGUCAGGCUAGAGUGCAGGAGAGGAAGGUAGAAUUCCCGGUGUAGCGGUGAAAUGCGUAGAGAUCGGGAGGAAUACCAGUGGCGAAGGCGGCCUUCUGGACUGACACUGACGCUGAGGUGCGAAAGCGUGGGUAGCAAACAGGAUUAGAUACCCCAGUAGUC
rnacentral:rRNA from 1 species